GACGAACGCUGGCGGCGUGCCUAAUACAUGCAAGUCGAGCGCAGGAAGCCAUCUGAACCCUUCGGGGGGACGACGGUGGAAUGAGCGGCGGACGGGUGAGUAGCACGUAAAGAACCUGCCCAUAGGUCUGGGAUAACCACGAGAAAUCGGGGCUAAUACCGGAUGUGUCAUCGGACCGCAUGGUCCGCUGAUGAAAGGCGCUCCGGCGUCGCCCAUGGAUGGCUUUGCGGUGCAUUAGCUAGUUGGGGGGGUAACGGCCAACCAAGGCGACGAUGCAUAGCCGACCUGAGAGGGUGAUCGGCCACACUGGGACUGAGACACGGCCCAGACUCCUACGGGAGGCAGCAGUAGGGAAUCUUCCACAAUGGACGAAAGUCUGAUGGAGCAACGCCGCGUGAACGAUGAAGGCUUUCGGGUCGUAAAGUUCUGUUGUAAGGGAAGAACAAGUGCCGCAGGCAAUGGCGGCACCUUGACGGUACCUUGCGAGAAAGCCACGGCUAACUACGUGCCAGCCGCCGCCGUAA
rnacentral:rRNA from 1 species